CGGCGCUCGUGCCGGAGGGACGAUGCCGUGUGGGGACCCGUCCAGCGUGUCGACAUGGCCGACCGUUGUCCCCGGGGGCAUGUGCGCCACCCGUCGAGCCCGCCGCACUUGUGCGCCAGAAAAGCGGAGCCAAUCCCGCAGCCGCAACUCGACACGGCGGCGCCCCCGUACGCAUGGCCUUUUUUUCCGGUGCCGACCUGACGACCGACGAGAGAGAGAGAGAGAGCACGGCGGGUAGGCCGCCCUCAGGCUGUCGCAAAGGCGGUCGCGAGCCGUGAUGGGUCGGUCGCACGGUGGACGGUGCACGGACUCCAUCGGACGGUGGCCAGGUCCGGCCGCACCGCCUCAGGGGGCUUUGGCUCGGCGAUACAUUUGAUGGCGGCCGCCGAGAAGACAAAUGGGCCAUCGAAGGCUAUCCGUCGUGUUCCGGUCUCGUGCAAUGCUGCCCUGAAUCGUCGGGUUUGCGUAUCGAUUUCGAUUUCUCCGCAGGGGAUCGAUCAGCACUCAGCUAUCUGCGUAUCCGACGAGUAAACCGUUGUUGGACUUGCCAGGAAUUGGUCAGGGUCCUCGUCAUUCUUGCUGCGGUUAAAAGGGAGAAUUGAAAGGUCUGAUACUACAUGAAACAGUUUCAAUCUCGAACACAUCAACGCAGAAGUCAUGUGUCGGCAGGUUCAGGCCUAUGGCAUCAUAAAAACCCAAGGAUCUGAAACAGUUUCAAUCUCGAACUUGCUAAACCAUUUGACUAGAUUUAACAUGCCACCCAUUUUUUGCAGAUGAAAUCAUGUAAGCUUGUACCAACCAACUGAAAGAAGUGACCCCUUGCAUAGAGAUCUGUCAAGCACCCACCUAGCUACAGCACCAAACUUUUGCCAUGCAGCUGCAUGUCGCAAGAGAUACGAGGAGCAUGAAACUACAGUUCCUUGAGGGUCACUGCAGAUUGAUAUAUCCAAACAAACAUAAACAGUCACGAAGACUCACUAUCGGCAUAAAGAUCAUUUAACAAGCAGUACUAGGAAAAAACAAGGUACAACAACAUAACAAGGCUAGGUUCAGCAAUGAUCGGUACCAUUUCCGCAUCCUCUUAUUUAACUUCGCAUACCCGGUUACACGCUGCCGCAACGGCCUUGACAGAUCUUACAACAACAACAAAACCUUUGUCCCAAGCAAGUUAGGUUAGGCUAGAGAUCUUAGCUGCCCAAUAAUAGUAGGAGAUGGUGGUAGCAACAGAUGCAUUUCAUUCGCCAGUUGCACAGAAGUCAGGCGCUGCCUUGCGCUGUGCUCAAGCCAUUCAGUACUCCUGUAUCCUAGAUCCGUUGCUGUUCUGGCUGCUUGAACUUCCGCCAGGACAGCUACUAUUUUGUUUCGCCAACAUCUGCAUUUCAUCAGAGAAGCAACUUUUAUCUUAACAUGUCGGGAGUACUUAGUUGCAUUUAGCAAUUAUGCAGAAUGACUGACUAAGCUUUAUUCUGAUGAGUGUUCCUUAGCUAUCAUUUCAAGCUUCAGGUUAUACACCUAUGCUGUGUCUAGCUUAACAAUGGUGUGGAAUAUUAAGGCAGCAGAAUCCACUUGUCGUCCCAAUCAUACCACAAGGAAGCUUAAUUCGAAUAUGGCCAGAAUAUUUCUUGACAUUGGCUAUCUUGCUAUCUCAGGUCGGUUCCUACAUAACUUGUUCGCACCAUUCCUUAACAGAGUUGAGCUCUCUAACAGGACUUUUCAUGGAAGGUCCACCAUUUCUUCAUUGAGGUUAGAUUGCUCACUACAUAGUUGUGCAAUACUAGCAUGGCUUUCUUUCUUUCUUCCUUUUUUUUAAAAAAAAAAGAGGCCGGAGCAGUACUAGCAUGUCUAAGUGUGAAAUAUGCGCAUAUACAAGGUGCUAAUGCUUAGGCCACACUUAAAAAAUCCAACUAACAAUUAGCCACAUUCAAAGAAACAUGGCUCUGUGUUCUCUUAUUAUCAGCUUAUUAUUGGCCAAAGGACCAACACAUCGCCUCUAGAUGCAAAUAGUCUAUUUCAUCAAAUGCAUUUUCUCAUCUGCUUGAAAAUUGGGAAUAGGAUAAGACUUCAUCAAACCAUGCAACACAGGAUA